ensembl:rRNA 5S_rRNA 5S ribosomal RNA
GCUUACGGCCACACCACCUGAUUCACGCCCGAUCUCGUUUGAUCUCGGAAGCUAAGAUAGGUUGGGCCUGGUUAGUACUUGGAUGGGAGACAGCCUGGGAAUACCAGGUGCUGUAAGCU